rnacentral:rRNA from 1 species
UAACUCCGGGAAACCGGGGCUAAUGCCGGAUAACAUGUUGAACCGCAUGGUUCUACAGUGAAAGACGGUCUUGCUGUCACUUAUAGAUGGACCCGCGCCGUAUUAGCUAGUUGGUGGGGUAACGGCCUACCAAGGCGACGAUACGUAGCCGACCUGAGAGGGUGAUCGGCCACACUGGAACUGAGACACGGUCCAGACUCCUACGGGAGGCAGCAGUAGGGAAUCUUCCGCAAUGGGCGAAAGCCUGACGGAGCAACGCCGCGUGAGUGAUGAAGGUCUUCGGAUCGUAAAGCUCUGUUGUUAGGGAAGAACAAAUGUGUAAGUAACUGUGCACAUCUUGACGGUACCUAACCAGAAAGCCACGGCUAACUACGUGCCAGCAGCCGCGGUAAUACGUAGGUGGCAAGCGUUAUCCGGAAUUAUUGGGCGUAAAGCGCGCGUAGGCGGUUUUUUAAGUCUGAUGUGAAAGCCCACGGCUCAACCGUGGAGGGUCAUUGGAAACUGGAAAACUUGAGUGCAGAAGAGGAAAGUGGAAUUCCAUGUGUAGCGGUGAAAUGCGCAGAGAUAUGGAGGAACACCAGUGGCGAAGGCGGCUUUCUGGUCUGCAACUGACGCUGAUGUGCGAAAGCGUGGGGAUCAAACAGGAUUAGAUACCCUGGUAGUCCACGCCGUAAACGAUGAGUGCUAAGUGUUAGGGGGUUUCCGCCCCUUAGUGCUGCAGCUAACGCAUUAAGCACUCCGCCUGGGGAGUACGGUCGCAAGACUGAAACUCAAAGGAAUUGACGGGGACCCGCACAAGCGGUGGAGCAUGUGGUUUAAUUCGAAGCAACGCGAAGAACCUUACCAAAUCUUGACAUCCUUUGACCGCUCUAGAGAUAGAGUUUUCCUCUUCGGAGGACAAAGUGACAGGUGGUGCAUGGUUGUCGUCAGCUCGUGUCGUGAGAUGUUGGGUUAAGUCC